AGUAAAAAGCUAGGUUUUUAUAUUUUCUUAAUGAAUAAUAAAUGUUUCUUUAAUUGACAUAUAGCUGAUGUGCAAUAUUAUGCUGGUUUCAUUUGUAUUAUGUAGUGAUUUGACAUUUGCAUACACUAUGAAAUGAUCACCACAGUAAGUCUAGUAACCAUCUGUCCCCAAAGUUAUUACCAUAUCAUGGACCAUAUUCCUUAUGCUCUAUGUUACAUCCCAGUGGCUUAUUUAUUUUAUAACUAGAAGUUUGUACUUCUGAAUCCCCUUUAUCUUUUUUGUCCAACCCAUACGCAACUCUGGUAACCAUCCAUUGCUCUCAAUAUCUUUGUGUCUGUUUUUAUUUUGAUUUGUUUUAAGAAUCCAUAUAGAAGUGAGGUUAUACAGUAUUUAUUUUUCUCCAUCUGACUUAUUAGCAUAAUACCCUCUAGAUCUAUCAUCUUGUCACAAAUGCAAGAUUUUUUUUAUGUUUGUGUAAUACUCUACAUCUUUACCUGUUAGUCUAUCACCGGACCCUUAGGUUGCCUCCAUAUCUUGACUGUUGUAAAUAAUGCAGCAAUGAAUAUUGGGGUGCAUAUAUUUUUAUGAAUUAGUGUUUUUGUUUAUUUUGGUAAAUACCCAGAAGCGAAAUAGCUGGAUCACAUGGGUAGUUCUUUUUUAAUUUUUUGAGGAAUCUCCAUAGUUUUCCCCAUAGUGGCUGCACCAAUUUAUAGUCCCACCAACAAUGCACAUGACACCUCUUUUUACCACAUUCUUGCCAACACUUAUCAUUUGUUGUCUUUUCGAUGAUAGCAACUCUGACAGAUGUGAGGUGGUAUUUCACUGCAGUUUUGUUUUCACUUUCCGAUGAUUAGUGAUGUCAAAUAUCUUUUCAUGUGUCUGCCGGCCAUCUGUUUGUCUUCUUUGGAAAAAUGUCUAUUCAGUUUCUCUGCUCAUUUUAAUCGAGUUUGUUUUUCUGGACAUUUAGUUGUGUGAGUUAUUUGUAUAUUUUGGAUAUUAACCCCUUAUCAGAUAUAUCAUUUGCAGAUAAUUUUUCUCAUUCAGUAGACUGCCUCUUCAUUUUGUUGAUAAUUUCUUUUAGUGUGCAGAAUCUUUUUGGUUUGAUAUAACCAUAUUUGUUUAUUUUUGGUUUUGUUUGCCUUGCCUGAGGAGACAGAUCCAAAAUGUAUACACAGAGCUAAGACUGAUCUCAAAGAGCUCACUGGUUAUGUUUUCUUCUAAGAGUUUAAUGCUUUCAGGUUUAACAUUUAAGUCAUCACAUUGAGUUUAUUUUUGUGUAUGGUGUGAGAAGAUCGUUCCGUUAUAUUCUUUUGCACAUAGCUGUCUUGUUUUCCCUAUACCAUUUAUUAAAGAAGAUAUCUUUUCCCUAUUGUAUAUUCUUGCAUCCUUUGUUAUAAAGUAAUUGAUCACAUGGGUGUAGGUUCAUUUCUAGGCUCUUUUUUUCUCUCCCAUUGAUCUAUGUGACUAUUUUAUGCCAGUAUUACACUAUUUAGAAUACUGUGUCUUCAUAGUAUAUAUUUGUAAAUCAAUGAUCUCAAGUUAAAAUGCAUUCUAAGAACCCUACUUUACUGCCCACCCCUCCUUUGAUGUUUUUGCUGUCUUAUUUUACAUGUUUUUGUUUUCUGUAGCUCUUUACUACUUAUUUUGAAUAUAGGUGAUUUUACUACUUUCAUAACCUUCCUACUAGCUCUAUAAGUGGUUGAUCCAAUACCUUUACUAUUUAUUUGCCUUUACCAAUGAAAACUUUCCUCUUAUCCUUUUAAUAUUUCUAGUUGUGGCCUUUUCUUUUACACUUAAAAAAGUCCCUUUAACAUUUUUUUUGUAAGGCCUGUUUAGUGAUGCUGAACUCUCUUAGCUUUUGCUUGUUCUGUAAAGUUCUCUAUCUCCUUAAAAUCUGAAAUGAUAACCUUGCCUGUGGAGUAUUUCUGGUUACAGGUUUUUUCUUUCAUCACUUAGUAUAUGUAAUGCCACUCUCUUCCGGACUAACUGCAAGCCCCUGGCACUAAUAGGCUAGAGGGAGGAUUCUAAAAUGGCACUUGCCAAUGGCAGGGUCACUGCAGCAGAACUCUUAAAAAUGUCUGCUGCCAGGGUCUCCAUUUCCGGGGUAGGCCAAAUUGCUUCCUACCUCUCCAGGAGGCUCUCCAAGAUCAGCAAAUGGGUUUGAUUCAGGCUCCUUCCAACCACCUCUGUGCUGGGACUCAGCAUGUGUGUGAGCUUUUGCAUGGGCCUUUAAAAGCAGAGUCCAUGUUUCCUGUAAGCCUCUGGCUCCCCCAAAUAUAAGCCAUGCUGGUUUUUAAAGCCAGAGAUUCUGGAAGCUCAUCUUCCCAGCACAGGACCCCUGGGCUGGAAAGCCAAAUGUGAGACUCAAAUCCUUUGCUUUUGGGGGAUGAUUCCUUAAGUUGCAAUAUUCCUCCUAUUUGUGGGUUGCUGACUUUGGGUGUAUAACUCCUGACUCCAUUGUGUCUCUACCCUUCCUACCUGUCUCUUUGUGGCUCCUUCUUUGCCUCUUUAGUUGUAGAAAAUCUUGUCGGCUAGUCUCCAGGUCAUUCUGAUAGUUGUUUUGUAAGCAGUUGUAAUUUUGGUAUGCCCAUGGGAGGAGGUGAAUUAGAAGGUUUCCUAUUCUGCCAUCUUGGCCACACCCCCAAGCAAUGUUUUUUUUUUUUUUUAAUGUUUCUUUAUUAAAAUUCCCUGCUAUAUAGAAUAUUUAUAAGUAGAAACUUUUAGAGUUGCCAAAUAUGAGAUUAUACCACUUCAAAAUAAUAACAUAUGAAGAACUAAAUUUGAAAAUUUACAAUUGAAGUGUAUUCUUCAUUUUGAAGGAGCAUUUAUUAAAGGAUUCUUUUAGCUUUUGACAAACAUCUACCUAAAAACUAAAGUAAAUCCACAUUAACCUUUUGUAUGGGAGUGCACACCUUAAAUAGUAUAAUACAAAGAUUAAAUUUUAGUGACUUCUUUGCAAUUAGUAAAUGUAUUUUAAUUUCAUAACAUCAUACCUCCAUUCUACAAAGCAAACAAAGACUCCAUUGACUAUUAAUAUAAAGAAAAGCUAUUCAAAGGAUGAAUCUUUGCUACUGGUAUUGAGUUUUAUUUCAUGCUUAAUGUGCUAUGUAGGGAAAGAAAGAAAAUGUUAACAGUGUUCCAUGAUUCAAUGAUUUUUGAGAUAAAAAGAUUUUCAAUUUAUGAUUCCAUGGAUUCCCAAAGAGUGCUUUAGAUAUUGAAAAAGUGCAGUGAGAAAAGUUUUAUGAUCACCAAGGGCACUGUCUUAGAAUGUGGGUUACCUGGUAUGUCUCAGGCACUUAAGAAAGGUUGAGUGAAGUUACAAAACUGUGAUAUUCCCAUGUUUCAAUAAAAUUACAGGCCAGAAUAUUAGGCCAUUCUGUAAGUUCAUCUGACUUCUAUAUUGUGUUUUCAAUUAAGGAAAGUAAGAAUCUUACUUUCAUACUAAUUCCAAAGCACAAUAUAAUAUAUUCCUAAUUUCUAUACUCUCUUGCUAUUGUCUUCUAUUGAAUUAUAUUAUUGGCAUGGCUGAUCUUCAAAUUCUGUUCAUAGAAACCAGGUGAAUAUCACAUAAAUUUUUGUUGAUUGUUAUCAUCAGCACUCAUGAAUAUGAGUGAUUGAUAAUAACUGCUAGUAUCAUCAUAGUUGGUACUUUGCAUGUUACUUCAAAAUUGCUUACAAUUCUAGAAGGUAUUAUUACCCCACUGCUAUAAAUGAGAAAAUGGAGGGUCUGAGGUUUAGCAACUUUUCCAAGGUCACUUAGUUAAAAUGAUCUUGUGCUAUGCUGUGAACCCAGACCUGAAAACUUCAUAAACCAAGAGCAUUUCCAAUGUGUCAUCCUGCUAAUUCUUUGGUAACAAAUUGACAGAAAGGAAAUUUCAACUUUCUCACACACAUGGUGCUUUGUCAUUAACAACUCACCCCUACAGCUUUGAGUAAUGAUUUCACAUAGAGGAGAUGCAAAGCAAUUUAUCAUUUUUGUAGAUUUAGAGUUUGCUAGUAGCAGAUGGCUCUGAGAGGUGGAAACGUAGAUUUCAGGAGGCAAUUCAAAAUGAGCCUCCACUUGUCCAACUAGGUAGCCUUCUUAUUUGGAAAUGUAUAGAGAUUAAUUUUUUCUCUUUGAAUUCUAUAAUUGUAAAGGCUUUAGUAUUCACUUACAUCACGUUGCUUACAUUUUUCAUUCAAAUUCUACCUACAAUAUGGUUUUGACUAAAAUAAUUUAUUCUAAAAUGUUGGGACUUAUUUAUAUAAUGUCAACAAAUGUACUUUAAGGUUUGAAGACAUUUUUGUAGGCUGGGCUUGCUUAUAAAAUGUUACUAUUAUGCUUUAUUGAGCACUUAUGUUUUUGUCCCCAUGCUAAGCACUUUCCAUGUGCUGGAUCACACAGUCUUCACAAUCAUCUUAUGAGGUCAUUGGAAUUCUCUUUUGUGAGGAAACUGAGGAUUAGAGGGAGACUAUAUUGACUGACUAAAUCUGAGUACUAAAAGAUUCUGAGAGAUUUGAUUAAUAGUCUGAUUUUAAUAAGACAAAAUUUAACCUGGAAAAACACAACAUCCUGUACUUAGGUUUAAAACAAUUGUGUAAGUAUAGAAUGGGGAAAAUGUGGUUUAUCAACGGACCAUAAAUAUAAGAGAUGGAGAGUUUUGUUCAAGAAGAAGCUCUAGUCAGGCCAAUGAUAUAUUGAGACUGCCAAAAUAAUAAUAAUAAUGUGAACUUAGUCUGCAUUGAUGGAAGCAAAGACAUAAGGGGGAGACGGGGCCGAUUCUCCUGUUUCUAGAUUUUUUCCAAUUUUUGAGUGGUUCUGGUCCUAAUGCCAUUUUUUUUUUUUAGCAGUUGUAAAUGGAUUCAAUGUAUUCAAAAAGAAACAACUAUGCUGAUGGUUGAAACCAUAUAAGAUUAAAAAUGGUCAAAAGGCAUGGCAGUGUUUACCACUGAAGAAAAAUAAAUAAAAAUUCAAGGAUAACAAGAUAGCUAUACUUCAAUAUUUGAGAAAAUGCCACAAACAAGGAUUAUUUUUGCUUAGUAUAAACUCAAGUAGUAAAACUGGCAACAGUGAGUAGAGGAAGCUAUACACAGAAAGAAUUCAACUCUUAACAAGUGAGAUUUUUCUAAUAGUUGGAGUUGUACUAAUAUAAAGGGAACUGCCUUUGGAAAGAAUAUAAUUUUUGUUUCUGGAUACCCAUUCAGCAGGGAUAUUGCAGAAGAUGCAAACAUUAGAUGGUCAGACCAGAUCUGUGAGGCACCUUCCAAACUUAUACUUUUAUUAUUCUCAACUUUGUUUUGCAGGGGGUGGGGAGAAGAACAGCCACCUGACAAGUGGUUCUACUGCUUGGUUCAAAGAAGCAACAGUCUGCUUGGGGACUUUGGAAAAAGCCCACCUGAGUUACAGGAUUUUGGCAGAAGUAGCAAGAACUGAGCCCUCACUUGAAAUAUGCUAAGAAAACUCAAAGUCCUGAGAAAAGAAAUCAAAGUGAAGAACAUAUUCAGACAAGUUUCCAGUGGACACCCAUCAAAGUUUCUCCUGGUCAAUUGUGACUGGCUAACGUUACGUUUCAGUGGCCUGUGUGCUACUACAUUAAAAGGUCAGCUUCACUCUAAUAGAAAAUGCUUUGGAAGUCUGAACUGAUCUGUGUUAUUCAGAAUAUAACAGACAUCUUCAAUCAAAUUCCAUCCAGAGAAUUUUCUGGGCACGAUUUAAAAUGUGGGGAAAAAAAAUUUAAACCAUUCACCUAUCUCUGGGAAUCAGAACUGAUUACCUCAUACAAUAUCUAAAGGUUCAUCAAAGCAAAGAUCUUCGAGAAGCAAUCACAGUGACAAAAUCAGUAUCCGAGUUCAUUUCUCUGAGUUUCUUAGCAGUGAAUUUUAUCAUGGAUCUUUUCGGCUCCAUCAUUUUUUUAUUCAAACAGACAGAUGUUUAUAGCCCAAAAAAAAAAAAAAAAAAAAAAAAA